rnacentral:rRNA from 1 species
GACGAACGCUGGCGGCGUGCUUAACACAUGCAAGUCGAGCGGUAAGGCCCUUUCGGGGUACGACGAGCGGCGAACGGGUGGAGUAACACGUGGGUGGACCUCGCCCUCCAGCUCUGGGAGUAAGCCUGGGAAACCGGGUACUAAUACUGGAUAUGACUCCAUGACGCAUGUUGUGGGGUGGAAAGCCUUGUGCGGCUGAGGAUGGGCCCGCGGCCUAUCAGCUUGUUGGUGGGGUGAGGCCUACCAAGGCGACGACGGGUAGCCGGCCUGAGAGGGCGACCGGCCACACUGGGACUGAGACACGGCCCA